GGCUUAACCCCCACCGUCAGCACC
rnacentral:piRNA from 1 species